GGAGCAGUGUGUAGCCCGUUUGGAUGUUGCCAUGUUCAAUGCCAUCCUUCGUGAAUCAGCAAGUGAGAUACCAACAGACCCUAUAUCUGACCCAAUUGUUAACCCAAAAGUCCUACCAAUUCCAGCUGGUGAUCUAAGCUUUGGGUCAGGCGCGCAGCUGAAGAACUCUAUUGGAAACUGGUCCAGAUGGCUGACAGAUAAGCUUGGUAUAGAUCAUGAUGAUUCUGAGGACAUAGGAGAGGUUGAAGACGAAAGAAGAGCCGCAGCUGAAACGAAAUCGUUUCAACUUCUCAAUGAGCUAAGUGAUCUCCUGAUGCUCCCAAAGGACAUGCUCCUUGAAAAAUCUAUCAGGAAAGAGGUUUGUCCCUCAAUUGGCCUUCAGUUAGUGACUAGGAUCCUGUGCAACUUCACCACAGAUGAGUUUUGCCCUGAUCCGGUUCUAAGCACGGUCUUAGAAGAGCUGAAUUCCGAGAGCUUGAUGGAGCGUCACGCCAACAAAGACGCGACCAGUGUGUUUCCGUGCACCGCUGCCCCUAUAGUGUACCGCACACCUUCAACGUUGGACGCGACAGAGAGAGCAGCAGACAUAGGAGGUGCGCGGCAGAGAGAGCAGCAGACAUAGGAGGUGGCGCGAAGCUGGACAGGAAAGCCUCAAUGGUGCAGAGGAGAGGGUACACCAGUGACGACGACCUUGACGACCUGGAUUCUCCCCUCGCAUCCCUAAUCGACAGGAGCACCCCACCUUCUUCGUCGAACGGUUUCGCACACUUCAGUGCUCGGAGAGGAGUUUCCAUGGAGAAUACAAGAUACACGCUCCUAAGAGAAGUAUGGGGGCUGGAGCAAUGGUGAUGGAUGAUGAUGAGCCUAUAAAACCUAUAAUCUCUUCUACAGCCACCCAAAUGAGAGCAUAAGAAGGCCUAUUUGUGCGGGGUCUUCAGCAAUCUCUACAGUAAAAAAAUGCAACACUUGUACUGUACAUUCCCACGAUCCUAUGUAUCUUAGAUCUUUUGUAGUAUAUAGCAGCAAAAGAGGGUAUCGGCAAAGAUACAGAUACAUUAUUGAGUUAAAAUUCUAUAAUGGUAUGACAUUCUCUUCA